rnacentral:rRNA from 1 species
GUGCCAGCCGCCGCGGUAAAACCAGCACCUCAAGUGGUCAGGAGGAUUAUUGGGCCUAAAGCAUCCGUAGCCUGUUCUAUAAGUUUCCGGUUAAAUCCAUUAGCUCAACUAAUGGGCCGCCGAAAAUACUGUAGAACUAGGGAGUGGGAGAGGUAGACGGUAUUCGGUAGGAAGGGGUAAAAUCCUUUGAUCUAUUGAGGGCCACCUGUGGCGAAGGCGGUCUACCAGAACACGUUCGACGGUGAGGGAUGAAAGCUGGGGGAGCAAACCGGAUUAGAUACCCGGGUAGUCCCAGCUGUAAACGAUGCAGACUCGGUGAUGCGCUGGCUUGUGGCCAGUGCAGUGCCGCAGGGAAGCCGUUAAGUUUGCCGCCUGGGAAGUACGUACGCAAGUAUGAAACUUAAAGGAAUUGGCGGGGGAGCACCACAAGGGGUGAAGCCUGCGGUUCAAUUGGAGUCAACGCCAGAAAUCUUACCCGAAGAGACAGCAGAAUGAAGGUCAAGCUGGAGACUUUACCAGACAAGCUGAGAAGUGGUGCAUGGCCGUCGCCAGCUCGUGCCGUGAGAUGUCCUGUUAAGUCAGGUAACGAGCGAGAUCCCUGCCUCUAGUUGCCACCAUUACUCUCAGGAGUAGUGGGGCGAAUUAGCGGGACCGCCGCAGUUAAUGCGGAGGAAGGAAGGGGCCACGGCAGGUCAGUAUGCCCUGAAACUUUGGGGCCACACGCGGGCUGCAAUGGUAGCGACAAUGGGUUCCGAAUCCGAAAGGAGGAGGCAAUCCUCAAACGCUACCACAGUUAUGAUUGAGGGCUGUAACUCGCCCUCAUGAAUAUGGAAUCCCUAGUAACUGCGUGUCAUUACCGCGCGGUGAAUACGUCCCUGCUCCUUGCACACACCGCCCGUC